rnacentral:rRNA from 1 species
UGCCUUAGUAACGGCGAGUGAAGCGGCAACAGCUCAAAUUUGAAAGCUGGCCCUUUUAGGGUCCGCAUUGUAAUUUGUAGAGGAUGAUUCGGCGAGGGCUCCUGCCUAAGUCCCCUGGAACGGGGCGUCAUAGAGGGUGAGAAUCCCGUAUGCGGUAGGUUGCCUUAGCCAUGUGAAUCUCCUUCGACGAGUCGAGUUGUUUGGGAAUGCAGCUCUAAAUGGGAGGUAAAUUUCUUCUAAAGCUAAAUACCGGCCAGAGACCGAUAGCGCACAAGUAGAGUGAUCGAAAGAUGAAAAGCACUUUGGAAAGAGAGUUAAAAAGUACGUGAAAUUGUUGAAAGGGAAGCGCUUGCAACCAGACUUGUCCGCAGUUGCUCAGCCGGUCUCCUGACCGGCGUACUCUUCUGCGGCCAGGCCAGCAUCAGUUCGGGCGGUCGGAUAAAGGCCUCGGGAAUGUGGCUCCUCUCGGGGAGUGUUAUAGCCCGGGGUGCAAUGCGGCCAGCCUGGACUGAGGAACUCGCUUCGGCAAGGAUGCUGGCGUAAUGGUUGUAAGCGGCCCGUCUUGAAACACGGACCAAGGAGUCUAACAUCUAUGCGAGUGUUCGGGUGUCAAACCCGUACGCGUAAUGAAAGUGAACGGAGGUGGGAACCCGCAAGGGUGCACCAUCGGCCGAUCCUGAUGUCUUCGGAUGGAUUUGAGCAAGAGCAUAGCUGUUGGGACCCGAAAGAUGGUGAACUAUGCCUGAAUAGGGUGAAGCCAGAGGAAACUCUGGUGGAGGCUCGCAGCGGUUCUGACGUGCAAAUCGAUCGUCAAAUUUGGGUAUAGGGGCGAAAGACUAAUCGAACCAUCUAG